rnacentral:rRNA from 1 species
GACGAACGCUGGCGGCGUGCUUAACACAUGCAAGUCGAACGGAAAGGCCCCUUCGGGGGUACUCGAGUGGCGAACGGGUGAGUAACACGUGAGUAACCUGCCCUUGACUUCGGGAUAACUUCAGGAAACUGGGGCUAAUACCGGAUAGGAAUCCUUGCUGCAUGGUGGGGGUUGGAAAGCUUCGGCGGUUUUGGAUGGACUCGCGGCUUAUCAGCUUGUUGGUGGGGUAGUGGCUUACCAAGGCUUUGACGGGUAGCCGGCCUGAGAGGGCGAUCGGCCACAUUGGGACUGAGAUACGGCCCAGACUCCUACGGGAGGCAGCAGUGGGGAAUAUUGCACAAUGGGCGGAAGCCUGAUGCAGCAACGCCGCGUGCGGGAUGACGGCCUUCGGGUUGUAAACCGCUUUCAGCAGGGGCGAAGCUUGUGGUGACGGUACCUGCAGAAGAAGCACCGGCUAACUACGUG